rnacentral:rRNA from 1 species
UACAGAGGUCUCGAGCGUUAGGCGGAAUCACUGGGCUUAAAGCGUGUGUAGGCGGAUCGUUAAGUACCUUGUGAAAUCCCACGGCUUAACCGUGGAACUGCUUGGUAUACUGGCGGUCUUGAGCCAGCUAGGGGCGACCGGAACAAAUGGUGGAGCGGUGAAAUGCGUAGAUAUCAUUUGGAACGCCCAAUGGUGAAAACAGGUCGCUGGGGCUGUGCGUGACGCUGAGACACGAAAGCCAGGGGAGCAAACGGG